CAAGGAUGAGCCGCGACCCGAUCAGUUGUUGGUGAGGUAAUGCUCACGCAAGCCUUUUACCGGUGCGGGCCGUGAGAGCGGGAGCCCGGAGAUGGGCAACUGAGACAAGGGCCCAGGCCCUACGGGGCGCAGCACUCGCGAAAAACUUUGCAAUACACGAAAGUGUGACAGGGCUAUCCCGAGUGCCAUCCGCUGAGGAAGGCUUUUACCCAGUCUAGAACGCUGGGGGAAUAAGGAGAGGGCAAGUCUGGUGUCAGCCGCCGCGGUAAUACCAGCUCUCCGAGUGGUGUGGAUGUUUAUUGGGCCUAAAGCAUCCGUAGCUGGCUAAGUUAGUCCCUUGUUAAAUCCACCGAAUUAAUCGUUGGAUUGCGGGGGAUACUGCUUGGCUAGGGGACGAGAGAGGCAGACGGUAUUUCCGGAGUAGGGGUGAAAUCCUAUAAUCCCGGGAAGACCACCAGUGGCGAAGCUGUCUGCCAGAACGCGCCCGACGGUGAGGGAUGAAAGCUGGGGGAGCGAACCGGAUUAGAUACCCGGGUAGUCCCAGCUGUAAACGAUGCAGGCUAGGUGUUUGGACGGCCACGUGCCGUUCUAGUGCCGCAGGGAAGCUGUUAAGCCUGCCGCCUGGGGAGUACGAUCGCAAGAUUGAAACUUAAAGGAAUUGGCGGGGGAGCAC
rnacentral:rRNA from 1 species